CCUACGGGUGGCUGCAGUGGGGAAUAUUGGACAAUGGGCGAAAGCCUGAUCCAGCCAUGCCGCGUGUGUGAAGAAGGCCUUCGGGUUGUAAAGCACUUUCAGUGGGGAAGAAAGCCUUGGGGCUAAUACCCUCGAGGAAGGACAUCACCCACAGAAGAAGCACCGGCUAACUCCGUGCCAGCAGCCGCGGUAAUACGGAGGGUGCGAGCGUUAAUCGGAAUUACUGGGCGUAAAGCGCGCGUAGGCGGUCUGAUAAGCCGGUUGUGAAAGCCCCGGGCUCAACCUGGGAACGGCAUCCGGAACUGUCAGGCUAGAGUGCAGGAGAGGAAGGUAGAAUUCCCGGUGUAGUGGUGAAAUGCGUAGAGAUCGGGAGGAAUACCAGUGGCGAAGGCGGCCUUCUGGACUGACACUGACGCUGAGGUGCGAAAGCGUGGGUAGCAAACAGGAUUAGUUACCCCUGUAGUC
rnacentral:rRNA from 1 species